AGAGUUUGAUCAUGGCUCAGGAUGAACGCUGGCGGCAUGCCUAAUACAUGCAAGUCGAACGAAGUCUUUAGGAAGCUUGCUUCCAAAGAGACUUAGUGGCGAACGGGUGAGUAACACGUAGGUAACCUGCCCAUGUGCCCGGGAUAACUGCUGGAAACGGUAGCUAAAACCGGAUAGGUAUGAGGGAGGCAUCUUCCUCAUAUUAAAGCACCUUCGGGUGUGAACAUGGAUGGACCUGCGGCGCAUUAGCUGGUUGGUGAGGUAACGGCCCACCAAGGCGAUGAUGCGUAGCCGACCUGAGAGGGUGAACGGCCACAUUGGGACUGAGACACGGCCCAAACUCCUACGGGAGGCAGCAGUAGGGAAUUUUCGUCAAUGGGGGGAACCCUGAACGAGCAAUGCCGCGUGUGUGAAGAAGGUCUUCGGAUCGUAAAGCACUGUUGUAAGUGAAGAAUGCCAUAUAGAGGAAAUGCUAUGUGGGUGACGGUAGCUUACCAGAAAGCCACGGCUAACUACGUGCCAGCAGCCGCGGUAAUACGUAGGUGGCAAGCGUUAUCCGGAAUCAUUGGGCGUAAAGGGUGCGUAGGUGGCACGAUAAGUCUGAAGUAAAAGGCAACAGCUCAACUGUUGUAUGCUUUGGAAACUGUCGAGCUAGAGUGCAGAAGAGGGCGAUGGAAUUCCAUGUGUAGCGGUAAAAUGCGUAGAUAUAUGGAGGAACACCAUUGGCGAAGGCGG
rnacentral:rRNA from 1 species